rnacentral:rRNA from 1 species
GAUGAACGCUGGCGGCGUGCCUAAUACAUGCAAGUCGAGCGAAUGGAUUAAGAGCUUGCUCUUAUGAAGUUAGCGGCGGACGGGUGAGUAACACGUGGGUAACCUGCCCAUAAGACUGGGAUAACUCCGGGAAACCGGGGCUAAUACCGGAUAACAUUUUGAACCGCAUGGUUCGAAAUUGAAAGGCGGCUUCGGCUGUCACUUAUGGAUGGACCCGCGUCGCAUUAGCUAGUUGGUGAGGUAACGGCUCACCAAGGCCACGAUGCGGAGCCGACCUGAGAGGGUGAUCGGCCACACUGGGCCUGAGACACGGCCCAGACUCCUACGGGAGGCAGCAGUAGGGAAUCUUCCGCAAUGGACGAAAGUCUGACGGAGCAACGCCGCGUGAGUGAUGAAGGCUUUCGGGUCGUAAAACUCUGUUGUUAGGGAAGAACAAGUGCUAGUUGAAUAAGCUGGCACCUUGACGGUACCUAACCAGAAAGCCACGGCUAACUACGUGCCAGCAGCCGCGGUAA